UUUUGUCCGGUUCUCUACGUGUUGCCGGGAGGACGGUCCGAGCUCGGGGUUGGACUCGAGUCAGCAAUUGCGCGGAACGGGGUCCGGCUUCGCGAGUGGAGGAGUGCUCCGAUUGGGUCGUCGACUGCCAUUCUGGAAGCCCCCAGCGGAGAUCCGAAGCCAGUCGAGCUCGAUCUCCUUGUAGUUUAGUGUUUGAUUUGGAGGAUGCAGCACAUUCCGGCGACGAUUGACGACCAGCUUUUUCUGAACGCUAUUAGGGAAGAGAGCCCAUGGGAGAACCUGCCGAAGAGACUUCAACUGACGUUGACUUCAAAAGAAGAGUGGCAUAAAAGAAUCAUAGACUACUGCAUCAGGAAGCGUCUACAAUGGAAUCAAUGUUUUGCACGUAAAGUCUGUAAAGAGGGAGAAUAUUAUGAAGAAAUGAUGCGCUAUCUGCGUAAGAAUCUUGCUUUAUUUCCCUAUCAUCUUGCAGAAUAUGUGUGUCGUGUACUGAGGGUGUCACCUUUCAGAUAUUACUGUGACAUGAUCUUUGAAGUUUUAAAGAAUGAGCAGCCUUAUGAUAGCAUCCCCAAUUUCAGUGCCGCAGAUGCUCUGAGGCUUACAGGAAUUGGACGUAAUGAAUACAUUGAUAUUAUGAACAAGUGCAGAUCAAAGAAAAUUAUGUGGAAGCUGAACAAGUCAAUUGCUAAGGAAUUGCUGCCCACACAGCCUGUAGAUUUCCCUGUUGAACCAUGGUGGGGAGUUUGCCUUGUUAACUUUACAUUGGAAGAAUUUAAGAAACUCACUGAAGAAGAAAUGGCAACUAUAGACAAGGUCUGCAAGGAGGAAGCAAAUUCAUUUGUUCUUUUUGAUCCUGACAUUGUUAAAGGUCUUUACAGAAGGGGAUUAGUAUAUUUUGAUGUUCCUGUUUAUCCUGAUGAUCGGUUUAAAGUUUCCAGGCUGGAAGGAUUUGUUUCAAACAGGGAACAGUCCUAUGAAGAUCCAAUAGAAGAGUUAUUAUAUGCUGUUUUUGUUGUCUCGAGUGAGAAUGCUACCGUUGCUGAGUUGGCUGCAACCCUCCAGGCUGACCUUUCUCAGCUCCAGGCUGCUGCAUCAUUUGCUUGCCGAUUAGGCUGGGCUGUAAAACUUUUGGAUCCGGAAUCCAUCCUUCGAGAUUCUGUCAUGCCUGGCUACCCUAGUAAUAUACUAAGUGAUGAUGAAGAGGCUUCUACUGCUAGCAUCAACUCAGAAAAGUCUGGCCAGCAUAGUCAUGAUCUAGUAAUUGAAAAGGAUAGAAUGAUUUCAGGCACUGCUCAUGUUGCUUUUGUUGUUGAUGCCAAUAUUACUUCCUAUUUAAUGAUGGGAUCUGUCUCACCAGGGUUGAAGUCUCAUGCUGUAACACUAUAUGAAGCAGGAAAACUUGGUGAUUCUAGUAUUGCAGAACUUUGCAGGGAUCUCUCAACUUUAGAGGGAAAAAAGUAUGAGGGUGAACUACAGGAAUUUGCUAACCAUGCAUAUAGCCUUCGAUGUGUUCUAGAGUGUCUUCGAUCUGGUGGAGUAGCUUACAAUGAGAAGUUUGACAUAGCGAGUAAUCCAACUGAUACACAUUCCUUCAUUGAUGACAUUACUUCAGUUGCAGCCGAAAUUAGUAUCUCUGAGGAAUCUGGUGAUUCUAAUGUAAAUGAAGCAAAUCAUGAUGACUCUUUGGAACACGGUCAUACUGAAGUUCCCCAGCCUGAUUUAUCUCCAGACAAAUCUGACUCUGUAAAUGGUUCUACUCCUGUAUGUUCAGGUACUUCAGCUGAAAAUAACACAUGCAAACCUGAUUAUGAUUUACAGAAUGAUCAGAGAGUUACGUACUCAGGUGGUUCAGAAAAUGAAAGGACUGUUCUAAAAAGAAAACGGAAGUACCGUGUUGAUAUUCUUCGUUGUGAAAGCUUGGCCACUCUUGCACCAGCAACACUAGAACGACUACUUCUUAGAGACUAUGAUAUCAUUGCAUCUAUGGUUCCACUUCCUGCCUCAUCAGUUUUACCUGGACCUUCAGGUCCGAUCCAUAUUGGACCACCCUCAUAUUCUUCAACGACGCCAUGGAUGAAACUAGUUUUGUAUAGACUGAUGGUUAGCGGACCUCUGUCAGUUAUUCUGAUGAAGGGGCAGUGUCUGAGGUUUCUUCCUGCACCAUUAGCUGGUUGUGAAAAAGCACUAAUAUGGUCGUGGGAUGGUUCCAUAGUAGGAGGUCUAGGAGGCAAAUUUGAGGGAAAUUUGGUUAAUGGAAAUGUGCUUUUGCAUUGUUUAAACUCAAUGCUUAAGCAUUCAGCUGUUCUAGUACAACCCUUAAGUAGAUACGAUCUUGAUAGUUCUGGAAAGAUUGUCACAGUGGAUAUUGCAUUGCCGCUUAAGAACUUUGAUGGAUUGGUUCAACCUGUAGGGUUAGACAUGAAAUUAGACCAGGAGAGAAUUGCAAACUUAAAUUCAUUGUUAAAUGAUCUCUCAAGCAAAAUUGAGUUAUAUACAGUAGGUUACGUUCGCCUUAUACGACUCUGGAAGGGAAUACAAUCAGACUUGUUAACACCAGAUCAUGAACAAUAUGAAUGGGUUCCUUUGAGCUUGGAAUUUGGUAUUCCUCUAUUUAGUCCCAAAUUAUGUGGCAGAAUUUGUGAAAGGAUAGUUUCAUCACAUUUACUACAAACAGAUUCGCUUAGUGAGCACAAUGUUGCAAUGCAAAGUCUAAGAAGAAGAUUACACGAAUUAUGUUCUGAAUACCAAGCAACAGGUCCUGCUGCAAAGUCGUUUCACCACAUGGAACAUGUGAAGAAAUCACCUCGUCAACUGACAAGCUAUGCAAGUGGUAGAUGGAACCCACUGUUGGAGCCUUCAACAGCAAUCUCUGGAACCUCCAGUGAACACCAGAGGCUCAAGCUUGCAAAUCGACAAAGAUGCCAAACAGAGGUUCUGAGUUUUGAUGGGAACAUACUCAGGGCCUAUGCGCUUAGUCCUGUAUAUGAGGCCAUUACACAACCUGAUGAAGGGUCGACCCCUGCCAGUGGAGUGAAACAUGAAUCCGAUGAGCUAGACAGCAGAGAAGUUGUCCUACCAGGUGUUAAUCUAUUGUUUGACGGGUCACAGUUGCACCCAUUUGAUAUAGGUGCAUGUUUGCAGGCUAGGCAACCUAUAUCACUAAUAGCAGAAGCUUCAGCAACAUCUGCUUCUCUUCAGGCAACCAGGAUACAAAAAUAACUUGUUCUUGAACUAUUUUCCAUGUACCAAUUCAAUUGGUGAGGCUGGCAUUUCUUCUAUCGGUUGUUCAGAUCUCUUUCUGCAUCACCAAUGAUUUGUUAUUUCAAGUUCUGAAAAUUUUCUGUUCCAGGGGUUCUUUAUUCGGGCAGGUGAGUCUGGUUGUGUCCCAGUAAUCUAUAUCAUAGAGGUUACUUGCUGAAGGUUGAUGAUGAAGAGAAGUGACUGGUAAAAGAUAUUUUAAAUGCUCAAAUAGACGUGCAUACGAUCAGUUAUACCUGGGGAGCCCAGAAGUCUUAUGAUGUGAAUUAUAGUUGCUUUAAGCAGUUUUUUGGAAGAUUCUAUUGGUUCAGAAUAAGAUGUUCAAACCUUUCUUAAAAGUUUUCAGGGAGUUAGUGACACAGUAAAAUGAGUAUGAAAAUUAAAAGAAAAUAGAGGCGUUGUGGGCUUCUCUUCUAUUUAGUUUAUCGGCCAUUUCAUGGACUGUUGCUAUUGCAGAAAUUUGUUGCACUUGUAGCAUGAGAUUAGCAUGAAGGAUGCUUUUCCUUGUAUAGAAAUUUGUCUGAAAGAUAUAGACCACGAUCUUCCAUUGCAUCUUUGGACAAUUGGCUAUAGAGAUGUGAAGUCAUUAUUUCUCUUCCAUAGAAGGUGCUAUUUCCAUAUGAACUCACUCGAAGGACUUAAGCAUAGCUAAGGCCAACAAAUCAAUUGUUGGAUGAUAGUAAAGUAUCCUACCAUCUUAUUUACUACUAUUGUUUGAUGAUCACUGGCCGUGGGAAGAUAUUGCUCGUAUUGAAAUGGUACAUCCAUGUUUUUUAUUCA